GACAAGGUACCUGGAGGCACAGCAGCCAUGUUGAACCUAUGAGGUGAUGAAAAACCAUGCAACUAGAAACCAGAAUGGAAGAAAAGAAGAAGCUGGAUCCUUGACUGAAUUGUCGAUGGGGGAUAGUCCAUCAUCCCAGGGCUAAGACCACCUCCAGAUUUCUUGUUUGGUGAAACAAGUCCUGAUUGUUUACAUUCCCUCGUGUUGAGCUGUCUCUUGCUUGUAGCUGAAAGCAUUUCUAAUAGAUAUUCAGAUUAUCAGCCUUAGCUCCAAGCUAGAAUACUCUAUGGGACCUUAGCUUCUCCAUGAAUUCCUUUGCUCAUCUGUGUAAUGCUCAAUAAAUGUAAAUUGAACCCUGAAUGAGGGACAAUGACACUAUUGAAGUCAUGAUUGUCAAUCUUAUUAACGGACUAACUACUUAACAAAAAGGUUGGAACACUGCCUGACGCACAGUAAGCGGCUGGGGAAAGGGUUUGCCAAAUGGAGUGACAAGAAAACAGUCAUGUUUAUAGGCUUUCUUUUACAUCUUGAUCCAUCUUCAAGCCUCUGUGGUCUUUAAGCAGAACCUUGACCCCUUCAGUACUGGGGCUCCUGGAGCAUGACACGCCCCCUAAACUCUUGUCUCAAAACACCCACUCUAGCAGUUUCUUUUUGACAAAAAAAAAGCCUUCUUAGUGAAUGCUGGCUUGUGAAAAAGAAGGGGCUGUGAUCAUCAAAUCGUGUUAGUAGAUGACCAAAAUACCCAAAGCAAUUCAUGCAAAUAGAUUCAAGUCUCUCUGGGCAAGCCUUCCUGAAGGCUCUAGAAUUUCUGAAGCUCAUUUUUGAAAGGGUCUUUCCAUAUGGUGGCCUUUUUCUUAUCUUUGAGCAGUCUUAGUCUAAGCAGCAUUCUCUUCUAUGGGGGUUUAUGGACAGAAUGGCUUGGCAUUUAUGGGCUUUCUAUUGGAACACAGGAGUUCUGUCUUUUCCUUGAAAUAUGUGCAGACUGGUGACUGUUGUAUGCAGCUCCUGCCUUGUGUUCUUGGAGUAGAAGCACCAGGAGAACAUGGUGAGGGUGAUGCUGAAGAGCCACUCUUAACCUAGCUAUGGCCUUGGAUUAGCUCCCUGCCAGCGAUGGUCAUCUUGACUAUUUAGGCCUUUGGCAUUUCUGUAUGACCACAAUCUAAGUGACAUGUGAGUACCAGGGCAUGGGAAAUCCCCAGUGAGAACCACCCCACCAAGUCCUUCCCAGAUUCCUGACCAAAAUCAUGACAAGCAGUACGAAAUGACUGGUGUUUUAAAACACCAAGUUCUGCCAUAAUUUGUACUCGGCAAUGAAAUGCAGUCCCCACUGUAAUUCUCCUGCACACUAGGCAACUGGGCAAAUGACUUUCAGUAUUAAGCACAUCAAACUUCUCACCUCUGUGUUAGGAGUACUCAUGUAGAUGUUGCCAUUGAUCAGUCUGAAAGUAAGUUUUGUUUAAAUGCAACAGGCUUUGCAGCAGCUACUAUGUUUCUUCCAAUCUAGACGCCACCCAAAAAGAAAGAAAAGAAAGGUGUAGCUCUCCAUUAAUUUAUGCUUACAGAGAGAGAAACAAAUCUUGCCAGUGAAACUACAGCCUGCCUCUGAUUGGAGGAUACUUCUCCUUUCAAAAGAUUCAUGUCUGAAAACUUCUGAUUAGAAGGCUGAUGAGCACAAAGACAAGGCUGUGCCCAGAUGAAAAGUAAAAGCCUGAAGACUCAAGUUUGUGAUAAAUGGAGAGAUCAGAAGAAAUAUGGCUUUGUAUCAGAGAUGUAUAACUGUUGCCCCAUUUUCCACAAUGUAACACCGAGGUAUAAUACUGCUUGUGAUCUGGGCCAG
rnacentral:lncRNA from 1 species